rnacentral:misc_RNA from 1 species
UUUUUUUUUUUUUUUUUUAUCCUCCUCCAGAAUCCAUCAGAACUCAUACAGAGAAAUUAUACACAUGGGAGCAAAACCAUAAUAUAGAUUCAAUAAACAUGGGAUGGGUCUCAAUACAAAGAAGCAAUCCAGCACCUUGGUAAAAGCCCUCGCACUAAUUAAAUAGUUUGUAUACUUACAAUAGCUUUGCUAAUCCGCAAAUCAACCCUAAAUUGGCAGGUGAGGUUUCCAUGUGGUGGGCCUUCGUUGUCACCAAAAACUCCAGACUACGCACAACCUUGAUACCAGCCCAAUUCUACAGAAAGCAGAAGUGCUUCUAUACAUGAAGCAUUUUAAGAAUGUGUACUUAAACCACCUGGAAGCCGAAGAAUAAAGGCAGCCUUGGAAACUGGAAAGUCGUCAAAUUACAAAGUCUAGGCAUCUACAUAAAUAGAAGACUGUUUCUCGGUGCAAACUUCUAUUCACAAAGAUUAAGACUAAGAUGCUAAUUGCCUUAUCAAGUGAUGAUUUCUCUGACAAGCCAAUCCAAACUAGGAUAAGCGAAGUACAGUAUUAGAAAUGAUGGGAUAGCAAAAAGAACCGUAAUAAGAAUGUACAGGGCCAAAAUGGCUGCACUAGCAGGUAUUGCAUAUAAAAUAAUCAACAGGAAUAUAAUGACCAAAGGAAACUUAGCUGUCAGAUGAAUGAAGAAAACCAGUGACUUCUGCAGGGUAGAAUUUAUUCUUCCGAAAUUGAGGAUGUUAUUGCUUUGAUUAUAAUAAUGAUUUGUUCUUGAUGGUUCUGGAUGACGUCCACUUCUGAUGUUAUUGAGACUUGACUCAUUUCUGGGAGCUAAAUUGCUGUCUGAUGACCAUAGGGGUUGAUGAUCUUCACAGAAGGUAUUACAGGACUUAUGUCCAUCAUCAUUCUUACUUUCAACCAUCCAAAGUAGAAAGUAAUUCUUGCGAGGAAAAUUCAAGUUGCCUCUGUAGACAAGGCGGAAGGAUAAGACAUUGCACCACGGACAGGAAAUAAAGAGCGGAAGUUGAACUGGUAAUGUGGGGAAUUUCACAACUGCCCAUUGAAGUCCUAGUAUGCAAUUUUUACAAAGCGUAUGGCCGCACCAUAAAACAUAAGGCACAUUUUCCACAAUAUUGAAAGACUCCAAGCAUAUUGGGCACUCUAGGCCUUCUUCUCUGCUAAUGACAGAUGACAACUCAUCAUCUGAGUAAUCUGAUGCAGCUUGAGUUAGCUUUGGAGUACUGUUCAAGCCAACACUUCCAGCAAUGCAAUUGGAUGUGAAAUUCCACAUUUUGAUAGCAAAGGCAAGUAACUUGUGAAAGCAGAAUCACAUUCUCAUUCUAUGCCUAUAGAAAAUGAACUCAAUAACCAUUAACUCAUACCAUGAAGGCCUCCCCUUGCUAUUAUUAGCACCAUUAACAAUCAGUGCACCAGUGAUACUUGAUCCAGAAAAAAAAAAACAAAAAAAGAAGAAAAAGAGGGUGAUUCAAAUAAAACCCUCUACUCUUCGUCUCCCUCUUUCUCUGAAACUACAAAGAUUGGAC